AUGAUUAUAAGCCUAAAUACUUCUUAUUUGAUUCAAUUCUCUGCCCUUUCCGCUUACGAUUCCAAUUCAAACUCUCAUACUUUCAUCGAUUCAAUCAUAACAGCAAAAGAUGAUAUAUGUUACCAGAAGGGAUUAAAGAAACGUUACCUACCGGCGAUGAUGCCAAUUCCUUUUCAACACCGCUGCGAAGAUAAGAACUCCAAUGGUAAGCUCUUCACUCGUUUCCCUUUCUUUGCUUCUGAACUCCUUUAUCGUCGCUUCCUGUUGUUAUCUGAAAUCUCGGUUAUAUCCUGA